GUGGGUGGUAAACUCCAUCUAAGGCUAAAUAUGACCACGAGACCGAUAGCGAACAAGUACCGUGAGGGAAAGUUGAAAAUCACUUUGAAGAGAGAGUUCAAGAGUACGUGAAACCGUUCAGGGGUAAACCUGAGAAACCCGAAAGGUCGAAAGGGGAAAUUCAUUCGCGUCUCGGAUAUCGGCGAUGAGCAGCCGCGUGACGGAUGGCGUUCGCGUUGUCCGCGCCUUCUGUUUUUCGAACCGGUGACGAACGCGUGCACUUUUCCCCUAGUAGGACGUCGCGAUCCGUUGGGUGUCGGUCUACGGCUCGCGGUGGAGUCCGUGUGCGAUCGUUUCGGCGAUUCGUGCUCGAACCCGCGAUGUUCCGGCCGACUCGCUCGACGGUAUACAGAUGGCGCGAGGCCGCUACGUUAAUUAGCGUCCGACCCACGGCAAGCGCGUUCGAUGCUAAGA
rnacentral:rRNA from 1 species